rnacentral:rRNA from 1 species
AGCAGCCGCGGUAAUUCCAGCUCCAAUAGCGUAUAUUAAAGUUGUUGCAGUUAAAAAGCUCGUAGUUGAAUUUCGGGAUCAAUACGUCGGUCGUGCUUUCGGGUACGUACUGGCGUCAUUGGUUUCUCCUUUCUGACGAACCAUGAUGUCAUUAAUUUGGUGUUAUGGGGAGUUAGGACUGUUACUUUGAAAAAAUUAGAGUGUUUAAAGCAGGCAUUAGCUUGAAUACAUUAGCAUGGAAUAAUGAAAUAGGACGUUCGAUCCUAUUUUGUUGGUUUCUAGGAUCAACGUAAUGAUUAAUAGGGAUAGUUGGGGGCAUUAGUAUUCAAUUGUCAGAGGUGAAAUUCUUGGAUUUAUUGAAGACUAACUACUGCGAAAGCAUUUGCCAAGGAUGUUUUCAUUAAUCAAGAACGAAAGUUAGGGGAUCGAAGACGAUCAGAUACCGUCGUAGUCUUAACCAUAAACUAUGCCGACUAGGGAUCGGAUGAUGUUAAUUUUUUAAUGACUCAUUCGGCGCCUU